rnacentral:misc_RNA from 1 species
GGCGGGAGAUAUAGUGUUUUCUCGUCAGGAGAGUUGCACAUCCGGAAUGUCACGCCGGACGAUGGUUCCAUGAGCUACCGCUGCCAAACAAGCCACCGCCUCACGCACGAAAUCAUAGUCAGCGCCACCUCGGGGCGACUCAUUGUAACAGAUUCGAGUGGUACAGUUCCUCCUCGCGUGACAGACAGCAGGACUGCCCUGUCAGCAGUUCAAGGUGAUGUUGUGGAACUGCCUUGUGCAGCUCAGGGUUUUCCUGUGCCUAGGUAUAGCUGGUAUAAGUACUCAGGAAGGAAUAAUUCCCAACUUCUUCCUGUAUAUCACGAUCCUCGAAUGGCUCAGCUGAGUGGCUCUUUGGUUAUUCGCCAAGUCAGUUUGGAAGAUGGUGGUAAAUAUGUUUGUCUUAUUAGUAACAGUGCUGGAGAAGAAAGAACAGAAUUGCUUCUUAUUGUUACAGCUCAUCUUACUGCCCAUAUCCAACCCCAACAACAAACAAUUGAUGUUGGGAGGCCAGCCAAAUUCAAUUGCUCAUUUGCUGGACAUCCAGUAAAUGGCAUUUCUUGGAUAAAAGAUGGCAGUCCUCUGUUUGAAGAUGGUGUACGAAUCAAGCUUUUUUCUAGAGUGCUACUGACCAUCAUUUCUGUACAAAGGGAAGAUAGUGGCAUGUAUCAGUGUUUUGUUUUCAAUGAUGUUGAGUCUGCUCAGGGAACUGCUCAGCUUUUGUUAGGAGAUGCUGCACCUGUUUUUCAUUAUGUGUUUACUGAAGAAACUUUGCAGCCGGGACCAUUUAUAUCGUUAAAAUGUGUGGCUUCGGGCAACCCGUUGCCACAAAUAACUUGGACGCUUGAUGGUUCUCUGUUACCGGAGGAUCAGCGAUUUCGUGUAGGAGAUUAUAUCACAAUGCAAGGUCGUGUUGUGAGCUAUGUAAAUAUCUCUGAUGUUCGUGUUGAAGAUGGAGGGGAGUAUGAGUGUCAUGCACGAAGCACGGUGGGCAUCGUAAGCCAUGCAGCUCGGCUCAACGUUUAUGGAUUGCCCUAUAUCCGUCCAAUGAAGGACGUGUCGGCGGUCGCAGGAGAAAGCCUCAUGCUACGCUGCCACGUUGCUGGAUAUCCCAUUGACACAAUCACGUGGCAUCGAGGGAACAGUAGACUGCCCAUAAAUCGUCGGCAAGAAGUCUUUCCUAAUGGCACAUUAAUUAUUCAGGAUGUGCAAAGAGGAGUAGACGAUGGGACCUAUAAAUGUAAAGCUUGGAAUAAGCAAGGGCAAAAUGCUUUUGGCACUGUGCGUGUUCAUGUGAUGGUGAGGCCCGUUAUUGAUCCAUUUUUGUUUCCCAAAAACCUUCAAGAAGGUAUGCGCUCCCGCCUUGUUUGUACUGUGAUUCAAGGGGAUCCCCCCUUUGUCAUCAGCUGGAAAAAAGAUGACAGGCCCAUUGAACCUGGCCUUGGGGUUGUCAUUCGCAAUGAUGAAUUUUCCAGCGACUUGACAUUUUCCAGUGUUACACCUCGUCACAAUGGAAACUAUACUUGUAUUGUUAGUAAUGCUGCUGCCUCUGUCAGUCAUACUGCUAUGCUUGUUGUGGAUGUUCCUCCUCGGUGGCAUGUGGAACCUCGGGAUACCUCUGUUGUUUCUGGGCGAAAUGUGCGCAUUGAUUGUUUAGCAGAUGGUUUUCCUGCACCUGUGAUAACGUGGGAGAGGGGCUCAGCCAACUCUCCUCGCCACUAUUCCGCCAUAGCCAGUGGGCCUCACUAUGAGGUCUACGCCAAUGGUUCCUUGCUUAUUAAAAAUGCCCAAGAAGAUGAUGCUGGGUAUUAUUUGUGCCAAGCAAGCAAUGGCAUUGCUUCUGGCCUUAGUAAAGUAGUCUUCCUUACUGUUCAUGUGCCGCCAAGUUUUGAAAACAAGUUCCGGAGCGAGACAGCACGCAAGGGUGAUGUCGUGAGACUGAAAUGCGAGGCGUCCGGAGAUCAUCCGAUGACAAUCGCUUGGAACAUUGAUAAACAGCCGCUCACUCCUGCCGAGGACCCGCGUAGGUAUGAUCUAAAGGAAUUGGUGGACAAAAAACGCAUGUCCUCUGAAAUUACAAUCAAGUCUGCAGAGAGGAGGGACUCUGCCCUUUUUACGUGCCUUGUUAGAAAUGCAUUUGGUCAAGAUGAUAUGAAUAUUCGACUUAUAGUACAAGAGCCGCCUGAGCCUCCACGUGAUGUACGUGUACUUGAACACAAAAGUCGCACAGCCAAAAUUUCCUGGUCUUCUCCAUUCAAUGGAAAUAGUGCCAUUAUUAGAUAUUUAGUACAAUGUAAAUCAGAAUCGGGUGAUUGGGAUUCGGGGAUACAAAAUAUCACUACAGGGAGUGAAGAAUCUAGUAUUACUCUUCGUGGACUUCGUCCUGCAAGAACCUAUUAUUGUAGGGUUAGAGCAGAAAAUUCUGUUGGUCUUGGGGAUCCUAGUGAAGCUGUCACUGUUGUUACUGCAGAAGAAGUUCCUGGAGGACCUCCUUUAGAAGUAAAAGCAGAAGCAGUUGAUUCACAAUCUGUUAGAGUUACCUGGAGGCCUCCAGAUAUAGAGUUAUGGAAUGGUCCCAUUAAAGGGUACUAUGUUGGUUACAAAGUAUAUGAUUCCAAAGACUCCUACCUAUACAAAACUUUGGAAGUUGGACAAGGUACAAGAGAAGAAGUGUUACUAACCCAGUUACAGAAAUAUACAAGUUACAGUGUGUUAGUACAAGCAUACAACUCAAUGGGUGCAGGACCUCGAUCUGAUGAGGUCAUAGUUCGAACCCUUGAAGAUGUUCCUGGUCAGGCACCAAGAGACAUAAAAUGUAUGUCUCCAACAUCUCAAAGCUUACACAUAUCGUGGAGUGCUCCCCCAUCCUCCUCUAUCCAUGGAAUCCUUCAAGGAUAUAAAAUUCUUUUUCGGCCAGCAGAAACACUUGCAGGAGAUGAAGAAUAUGAAGAAAGGACGGUUUCAGAUCAAGAGAUCAAGUUAACAAAUUUACAUAAAUUUACUAAUUAUACUGUGAUAAUCAUGGCUUUUACUCAAAAGGGUUUUGGAGUUCGAAGUGAUCCCAUUUUUUGUUCCACACUUGAAGAUGUUCCCGGGCCGCCUGCCGAUAUCAAAGCUGUUGUUAUGUCUUCAGAUACUAUUCUUGUUAGCUGGAAGCCUCCUUUACAUUCAAAUGGUUUAAUUACUAAGUUUACAUUAUACUGGCGUAGCUUAGCCGGUGGUGCCAAGAAUGAAUCUGUUAUUCGUGUUCCAUCCAACCAGUAUCAGUACAAAGUGUCAGGACUACCAGAUCGCUCACGCCAUGAGUUUUGGGUUACUGCGUCAACAGCCAGAGGAGAAGGUGAACCUACAAGAGUUGUGUCACAAACAACAAGUAGCAGAGUUCCUGCUAGAAUAAUGGAUUUUGGAGAAAAUAUCAUCACUGUUCCUGGAGACAAAAUUGUUCUUACAUGUCAAGCUGUUGGUUCUCCUGUUCCAAAGAGAGAGUGGAAAGUUCGGGGUGAACCCCUUCCUAAAAUGCACAGGCUUGAAGUGCAUUCAGAUGGUGCACUUGUGAUAAGAAAGCUGCAAGUAUCUGAUUCCGGGAAUUACUCUUGUCGUGUCCAGAACAGGCAUGGAGCAGAUGAAAUCAUAUAUGCACUUUCAGUUACAGACUUUCUAUAUACAGAACCAGUGCCAUCUCAUGUGCCGCAAGUGAAGGUUUUAUCUACAACUGCAACAUCUGUUUUGUUAGAACUGCCACAAUCCAGAGAGCGAGCUAUUGUUAGAGGGCAUGAAUUACAUUUUAAACCAGAAGGGGGAGAAUGGCAGCAGCGACGACUUCUUAGCAAAAAUCAUACUUAUAAAUUAGAGGGCUUGGAAUGUGGAGUCAAAUAUCAGCUUUAUGUAGUUCCUUUAACAAGUGAGGGAAAAGGAGAGAGGAGCAACCCCAUAUCAUUUAAAACUCAAGGUUCUGCUCCUGUAGCACCAAAGCAAGAGGAUAUGAUUUUUGCAAAUUCAACUCACCUUGUCUUGCAUUUGUCAGCUUGGCAAGGUGGUGGCUGCCCCAUUACACGUAUGAGUAUUGAAUAUCGACCUCAUAGCCAUAGUCGAUGGACUGUACUGACAGAUCAUGCAAACCCAGAACAACAACAUCAACUUGUAGUACCAGAUUUAGCUGCUGAAACUUGGUAUGUCGUGAAAGUUAUUGCCUAUAAUGGAGCUGGAUCAACCACUGCAGAAUAUGAUGCUAUUACUCUUACUAGUACUAAUGCUUUUCCUGUCCCAGAUCAUGGAACUCAAGGCCACAUGCCAUCUGCAACUUCAUUUUUUGAGGACACUACUACUCUUGUUUCAAUGGCUUCAUCUGGUGUAGUUCUUAUUGCAGGCAUUGUUGCUGUGGUAUGUUUGGUUAUGUACAAAAGAAGACGAAAUACUGGUCAUCAUUACAGAGAAGCAGCUUCAAGAGCUGAUGUUGCUACAACAACAGCUCUAAUGGCACACAUGGAUAAAAAAACUGGACGGUCAGAAUCCAGUCGACAUGGUCAUGGGCAUAGUCAUAGUCAUAGCUCACACAACCAACAAAGCCAUAAUAACCGAGAUCUCCCGUCCUAUUUCUCUUCCCCUGUUCGAAAAGUGGCACCCACCAAUAAUGCUCCUCAAUCACGUCAAAAUAGUCAACAAGCUGGACCUUCUACAAGUCAUUCCUCUCAUUCUGUUCCAGAGUAUGAGGAUGAAAUAGCUCCCUAUGCAACAUUUCAACUUCCUGGACCCCCUGCUGAAGAAGAGAAUGGAGAAACAGAAGAAUUUAAAACUUUUAGUGUUCAUCAUGGAGAGCCCCCUUAUUUAACUAAGACCAGCUUAGAUCCUCCAUCAAGUAAAAGCGGCAAAGCAAGUGAAGAAUUAUAUCAAAGUCAAGCUCCUAACAGUCACAGCCUUACAUCUGGCUCCUCUAAUCAAGAAGAGUUGUUACGAGCAUAUGAAUAUGCUCGACGACAUCCUCCUCCUCCUAUUCAGUAUGAUGGUGGCCACAACAGAGGGCACAGUCACACGAGUGGCACAGGUACAACAGAGUCAGAAGCAACUGAUCCUGGUAUUCGUCAGUUUAGUGGUACUCCUCCCAAACCAAAUGAACGGCGUCAAGGAGCAUGCCUUACCCCUGGGACACAAACAGGUGCUUCAGUGCAAAACACAGAUUCCAGCACAUCAGAUGAAGCAACUCCUGUUAAUACUCCUCAUCAAGCCAGAAUUAUUCCUACAGGGUUUGGGGCCUUGCCCAGGGAUAGAGGUCGGACAUCUUGGGGAGGGCAGAAAGGUCGAAGUCAGUCUGGUGCCAAGAAAUCAAGUUCCAAAGGAAUUAAGAAAGGGCAGCAUCCGAAGAGGGAUAAGUAGCGAUCAGGUAGCACAUCUGUUUUUAUGAGUUACUCAGUGACUUGGUUACUCUUGUUACCAGCACUGAGGAGCCUUUGAUUCUUCUCACCUAUUGUGCCUCCUCAUCAGCAGGGUUUGACCCCAUGUGUCGACAUCUAUUGCUUUCCAGCGACGAGAGUGACAGUGAAGGAACUAUUUAUACUUUCAGCCGAGCUGAUACUGCUGCUCUCCGUGGAAGCUCUGGUAAUGAUCAGUCAGAAACGGAGUGUGACAAAGAUAGGAUAGCAAGACUAG